GUGAGGAAUAUUGGUCAAUGGACGAGAGUCUGAACCAGCCAAGUCGCGUGAAGGAAGACGGUUCUAUGAAUUGUAAACUUCUUUUGUGCAGGAAUAAAGUGGGUUACGUGUAACCUUUUGUAUGUACUGUACGAAUAAGGAUCGGCUAACUCCGUGCCAGCAGCCGCGGUAAUACGGAGGAUCCGAGCGUUAUCCGGAUUUAUUGGGUUUAAAGGGUGCGUAGGUGGAUUGAUAAGUCAGCGGUGAAAGUUUGCAGCUUAACUGUAAAAUUGCCGUUGAAACUGUCGGUCUUGAGUGCAAAUGAGGUAGUCGGAAUGUGUUGUGUAGCGGUGAAAUGCUUAGAUAUAACACAGAACUCCGAUUGCGAAGGCAGCUUACUGGGAUGCAACUGACACUGAUGCACGAAAGCGUGGGUAUCAAACAGGAUUAGAAACCCGGGUAGUCC
rnacentral:rRNA from 1 species